rnacentral:lncRNA from 1 species
UGACAGAUAAUGACGCUCGACUUAAAUGUUUAAUGCUGUGAUAAGUUAUAUUGCAUAAUGAAGGAGAAAUAUAAAUUUAAAUUUUAAAGUCAUUAUUGUACAAGCCCAAUUUUUAGCCCAAAACCCAAUUAACCCAAGAACCCAAAAUAAUCACAUACCAGCAAAACCCUCUACCCAAUACAACCCAAAAACCCCACCUAAACCUAACCCAGCUACCAGCCCAAUUACAAUUAACCUAACCCAGACCCGAAGCCCACUUAGCCCAGGCCCGAUUUCAGUCUCUGAAACCCUAGGCGCCGCCCCUUGACUUUUGGCUUCCUGCCAUCGCCGCCACCGCCGUUGGACGUCCCAUCCGCGUCCAUCACGUCGGCCUCCCCCCACUUGCGCCGUCACCUGCAAAAGAAACAAAACGAAGGAAAGAGGGCAAUAGAAACAGUGGCAUUCGGCUAUAAAAGCCAAGAAAAAUGUAUUUUGAAGCUCUUGGCUUCCUAUUUUGUAACCAAAAAGUAACAGACAUUAGCAAAAUAAAUAAAAAAACAAGAGAAAUAUUAAGAGGUGAUUUUCGUUCUCCCGUUUUCAGAUUUUUUUUUUUAUUUUNNNNNNNNNNNNNNNNNNNNNNNNNNNNNNNNNNNNNNNNNNNNNNNNNNNNNNNNNNNNNNNNNNNNNNNNNNNNNNNNNNNNNNNNNNNNNNNNNNNNCAAACAAAGAAACGAUUUAAAAGGGAAAGAAAAAGAAAGGAGUACUUGAGCCGUUCCGUUUGCGCCGUCGCCGGAGUUCAUUUUUGGGUUACCGAAAUCGGACCAUGAAGGCGACGUUUGGGGCUUCGCUCCUUGGCCCUACGGCUCUAAAGCCCGAUCAUUAGUCGGUCCCUGAAACGGGGUUAAAAAACCGACCUUUUGGAAACUCCGACCACCGCAUGUGGCGGGGUCAUUGGUGGCCCGUUCGGCCAAAGGAAAAGGAGGGCUGAGGGUUUCUUUUUUUUUUCUCUGAAGUUUUUUUUUAAGCAAUGAAAGAAUGAGUUUUUAGAAAAAAAUUGUUUUAAAUAAGAUUUUCAAAACGGCGCCGUUUGGGCUUAGUUUUCAGAGACCAAAACGGCGUCGUUUUGGUCUCUCACCCGCGCGGUGACCCGACCCGGGGAGGAUCCGCGUGUUUUUGACUCUUGGGUAAUUUGCGCAUUUAGUCCCUUUGAUUUUGUGGAACUUUCAAGGAGGUUUUUCCCAUAUUUGCAAUUUUUGCCUCAAAUUUUCGCGUUUUCCUCGAUUUGGUCCCUGGACCAUGUGCAUGCGUUGCACUGGAACGGUGUCGUUUGAAUGACAGAGGGAUAUUUAUCAGUUUAGUCCCCCUUUAUUUCUCGCGCAUCACAACUUGAUCCCUUACCUUAUUUUAUUUUUAAUUUCGGCCCUGAGAUUUUGUUUCAGUUUUAAUCUAGUCUUAUUGUUAUUAUUAUUAUUAUUUAUAUUAUUGUUACUUAUCAUGUUGUUAUUAUGUAAUAGAUUAUAUAUAUAUAUAUAUAUAUACAUGUAUCUACAUUUUUAACUUAUUUAAUUCAUACAUAAAUACUUUUUUUUUUNNNNNNNNNNNNNNNNNNNNNNNNNNNNNNNNNNNNNNNNNNNNNNNNNNNNNNNNNNNNNNNNNNNNNNNNNNNNNNNNNNNNNNNNNNNNNNNNNNNNCGUAUGUAUAUCUAUAUACUUUUCUUCCACAAAUAUGUGUAUACUUAUUUAUAUAUAUAUAUUUUUAUAUAUUAAAAUAUGUAUAUUUAUAUAUAUACAUUAUAUAUUUUAUCUUACCUUUUUUAUAUAAUCCACAUAUAUAGUUCCCUUAUAUGUACACACACAUGUUCAUAUUUUAUAAUUUUCAUACAUUUUCCUUUAUUUUUAUGUUCAUUUAUGUAUUUAUUUAUAUGCCCAUUUUUAUGCUUUAGUUUAUUUAUUUAUUUAUUUGCUAUGGUAUAUGCAUGAUUGAUUUAUUUCAUUAUUCGUUUUUGUUCAUUUUUUUAUUUACAUAAUCAUGUUUAUUAUUCCAUCAUGCACAUAAAUAUCAUAUUUCAAAAAAAAAGGAAAAUAUUUCAAAUUAAGGCAAUAUUUAGCGUUUGGAAAUUCGAGGAACGUGCCCUAAGGUACUGGGUUUCGAUUUCUCGUUCGACCAAAUAGCUAAAUAUCCUUUUAAAAACUUUUCAAAAAUAAGGCAAUAUUUUGCGUUUGGAAAUUCGAGGAACGUGCCCUAAGGUACUAGGUUUCGACUUCACGUUCCACCAAAUGACUUAAUAUCCUUUUCAAAAAUUUUCAAAAUAAGUCAAUAUUUAGCGUUUGGAAAUUCGAGGAACGUGCCCUAAGGUACUGGGUUUCGAUUUCUCGUUCGACCAAAUAGCUAAAUAUCUUUUUAAAAACUUUUCAAAAAUAAGGCAAUGUUUUGCGUUUGGAAAUUCGAGAAACGUGCCCUAAGGUGCUGGGUUUCGAUUUCACGUUUAACCAAAUUGCCAAAUUUCCUCUUGAAUUUUAAUCCAUGCCAUUCGAGUUUUUUUUUAAGGAUCGUAUUUUAAAUUUCUUUAAAGUUUUCAAUCUUCGACACUAAGACAUUAAGUAAUCAACUAGGUACCAAUUUUGGGCGUAUCGAGGGUGCUAAUCCUUCCUCGUGCGUAACCGACUCCCGAACCCGUUUUUCUGAAUUUCGUGGUCCAAACUUGUUGUUUUAAUAAAAUCAAAUCUUUUAUUAAAAACAACCACUUUUCGAGGUGAUCCAAUCACACCUUAUCAAAAAGGAUUGGUGGCGACUCCCGUUUUCGUUUUCAUUUUCAAAAACCUAAGUCGACCCCGUUUUCCAUCAAAAAAAAUGGUGUCAACAGUUUGGCGACUCCACUGGGGAAAUAAAAUAAGUGGGUCAAGCCACGGGUUGAAUAUUUCUUAUCUUUUUGUCGAAAGUUGAAAUUUGAUUUAAAUAUACGAUCCUCUGAUUGCAUUUCAUUUGUUUUGAGUUAUAGUUUUUAUAAUGUUUUGUAUUUCAAAUUUCUAUAUAUCUCUGCACAUUGCAUUGCAUGACCGUUGGUCACACCUUUUAAGUGGGAGUGAGAAGCUACUCCUUCGUGAGGUUUUCACCUCCGUGCAGGAUAGUGGAUCGCUUUCGGGAUACAUCCGUACCUAUGUCUUCGUGAGAUUUUCAUCUCCGUGCAGCCAUAGGGAAAUGUAUUCCCCUGAACCGAAUAUGAACCUAUAAUGGGUGAAGAUCGAGGAAUCUGCUGGUUCGGGUACCUUAUCUUUAGAACCAACCCUCAUAUAGUGGACUUAGGAACUUAACCUAGGUAGAGCCACUCCAAAUCCCAAGUAUUUACCUGAUUAGGUACUUUUUGUUUUCUGCGCUUGCUUAUGUUUCGUUCUGACCCCUCUUGUUGUGUUUUGAUUAUGAUUGCAUUACAUUGCAUUUGCAUAUUAGGAAAGAGAUAUUGAUUCAAGUCCGAUUACUAAAUUAGAAAGCUUGUCAUGGAAUACGGAUUCCUUGAUAAAGUGGAAAACAAUACGACUUCCCGAAUAUAUUCUGAGAAACACAAGAAUGGCGAUGGAAAAGUUCGUGACCCUGCUUCGUAGCCUGAGGAUUCAAGGCAAUUGUCUAAGAGCCUUCAACAUUCCACCCCCUUAAAGAGGCGGACGAGCUUUAUGAAGAUGGGCAGAUGAUGGAUCGCGACCAAGAUCAAGAAAAUGAGCUAGCAAUGGCAUCUAUUGGAGAGAUUACCUCAAACAUGCGGAUGAAGAAAAACCGAUGUUGUUUCUUGGAAUAUGAGGGUGAGGUCGUACAUGUAUCCGUUUUAUGUAAGGGAAUUAUUUCCUAGAAAAGUUUCCUAAAUGUAAUUGAAUCAGAAUCAACGUCUCUUUAGGCAUUCAUUUCAUGCAUUUGCAUUACAUUGUAUCAUAUGCAUUAGAUUUUCAUGAAGUGACCCUAAUUAGGUAAAAUUAUUUCAGAAAGUCUGGAAAACCAACAUUUUUGCGGUACCUGAAUAUAGACUAAAGGAAUGGAACGAAGGUUGGAAAAAUUAGAGCGAAUGCAGAUUCAGAUGCAGGAGCAAUUGACUGAAUUUCAACAGGAGAUGAGAGAUUAGAUUCUAGGAUUACAGAGAACCAUGAUAAGUCAGUUCAACCGAUUGCUAGCUGGAGAAAAAAGGAAGGACCCGAUGGACCACUCAGGGGUUGAUAAUGAGGAUUUUGCUUAUUCCCUAGAUUGUACUCCGAUAAGUACACAGAUCCAGCCAGAUGGGCGUUCACAUGGGGCACCCUUUACUAUCAGAUCACAACGGUAUCAGACUGGCACAGCAACACCAGUGGGUUGCUUGACGGACCCAAGGUCCAAAGUGAGGAACAAUUUUUCUGUUGCUCUCGACAACCUGGCUGAAACAAAACAGGCGAGGGUGGAAUACCUAAGUACCACAAAGGCCCCAAGGAAGGAGGGGAAUAAAUGGGAUAAUGCGGGCAGGUAUAACAAGGGCCACUCAAAACCAAUCACUGCGGGCCGACCAAAGACAGAAACCACCAGCCAUCAGAGGUCUUCAAAGCAAGAAUCUGGAGUGAAGCCAGGUAUUGAGAAGCUCCAGUUCAUACCAAUUCUGAUGUCAUAUAGUGAGUUAUAUCGAAGCUUAUUUGAUGCACAUGUGGUGUCCCCCUUCUACUUAAAACCCAUACAGCCUCCGUAUCCCAAAUGGUAUGACACGAACGUACAAUGCGACUACCAUGCGGGAAUUACGGGACAUUCAAUAGAGAACUACAUUGCCUUCAAGAAAUUGGUUGAAAAACUCAUUAAUAUGGGUGUUGUCAGAUUUGAUGACUCGUCUAGCGCAGAAACUCUACUACCUAGUCAUAUUGAUAAUGGGGUAGACAUGAAAGUAGGAAGGGGAUCAGUUAUUUCUGAUUUAGGAGGAAAUAAGGGAAAGACACGGAACCAUUGCGAUUUCCAUCACGAGAGGGGGUUCGAGACCUAAGAGAGUGUGGAAUUCAAGGCCUUGGUUCAGGACAUGAUGGACGAAAAGGGGAUGAAGCUUCGUGAGGAAAUUAAAGAGGAGGAAAACAUACGCUUAAUGUUGGCAAGCGUUCACACCAAUGACAUAUUUGAAGACACGAAUGAAAAGGAACCUUGUUAGAUAUCUGCCCUUAUAAAUCUGGAGUGUUCUAAGCAAUUGGGCUACGGAAGAAAUCCCUUUAGUUUUUAGGGCUUAUCUAGAGUAAUGUUCAGAACAUUUUGUUGUUUUUAGCCUAGAAGCAAUAGAAAUUCCUUUAUGAAAGAGGCUAAUGUCUGAACGUUAUUAUUCUAAUAAAAUACAUCUUUGCAUUCACUUUUGAGCCAAUAUUCUUUCAUUCUUUUUGAAUAAUUAUGUCUGAUUAUUUUUCUUUUGGAUUUUCUUCCACAUCAUUCAUUCAUUCAUAAUCAUAUUGUAUAAAUAAUUAUUCUUAAAUUCAUACAUUCUUUGUAUAUUCUUUUGUACCUACAGUAGGUCCUUGGAUAUCAACGACAUGAAUGACACUGUUACAGACUUAGAAUCUCCUUUUGAGUGAGACAUGUGUUUAGAGGGAUCUCACGCCUUUGAAGAUGACAUAGAUCGUAGCUUAUCUCCAAGCUUAUUGAGGAUGGUAGAACAAGAGGAUAAACAGAUCAUACCUCACAAGGAAUCAUUAAAAAUUGUGAGCGCGGUAAAGAUUAGAAUUGACUUGACCGCAGAGACGAAGCAAAGACAUUGUUGAGUCGCCUCUAGAGUUCAAUGAUGUCUUUGUAUGAUCAUACCAGGAUAUGCUCAGAUUAAUCGCUGAUAAGGAAAUCUGCACAGCAGCACGUUUUCAGAAAUUUGCAGUGAAUGAUGCAAUUCUUUGCCGGGGCAAUGCCUCUCUCGUUGAGUCAACAUAGCUUUGCCCAUUUGAAGUCGAGUUUCCAUCCCUUCAAGAUGUUGUUGGAUUUUAUCCUGAUUAAAGAAGAAGAUCCAAAGUUUUCUAUCGUAGUUGCGUCCCAAAAGGGCUCUAUGAAAGAAAUCUGGUACCAAAGAAGGUUUUUCGCAUACAAGAUGAAAGUGGAAGAUCUUAUGUGGAAGACUUUAGAAUAGCAUUGAUUCUGGUCGAAAAGCAUGACCAGGACUUGCCUGAUCUCAUGAGUUCAGACUCAAAAAAAAAUUCAAAAAUAAAAAAAAUUAAAAAAAAUCAAAAAAAUUAAAAAAUCAAAAAAUAAAAAAUCAAAGUCAAAAAUAGGGGAAAAAGAAAGAAGAAAAAAGAAAAAGAAAAAGGAGAGGUCAAGGCGAAAACCCACAAAGGGCGCUUUGACCAAAGGUGGAUCUAAGUUGAAAACCCGAAAAGGGCGACUCAAAUUUUGAGCAAAAUGAGGCAUGGAAUCACCAUUAUCGAAGACUUCUAAUGGGCAUUGCUUCAUUUUGAGAGGCUACUUUAUGAGCUAAAGUCAUCGUAUACCGAUACAGAAUUUCAGAGAAGAGGGUAUUAGAGAAUGCAUUGAGCUUAAACAAUAGCACUAUAGCUGAGGUCGCAAAUUAACUCAGAAGUGGACACCACGAUUCGUCACUGAAGUUCCUAGAGUUGAACAUCGAAAAUUGAAGGAAAAUAACUGAGACUUACAAUGAUUGACGUGAGAAAUUACCAUUUGCCCUAAUUGUUUGUCGAACAUCGGUACUGGGGCAACACUUCUCUUUUUGGUUUACAGGAUUGAGGUAGUUCUACCUAUUAAAAUCCCCUCAUUGCUUGUUAAAGGGAUCCAAUCGCAAUGUGAUCAGUUGGCCCUAGGAAAAGGGUUAAAAGCUAUUCAUCAGGGUCAGAUGUACCAUAAAUAAAUAAUAUGAGCCCAUAAUAAACAUGCUCGUCUCAGAGAAUUCCACAAGAGGGCUGGAUGUUGAAAAAUAUUCUUCCUUAACGAAAGGAUUCUAAAGGGAAAUGAAUGCCAAACUAGGAAAGUCCUUAUGUUGUAAAGAAGACCAUUUUUAGAGGAGCACUGAUCCUGAGUGAGAUUGCUAAUCCUAUAAACUCGGAUCCAGUCAAGAAACACUUUGUUUAAAGAAGAAGGAAGGACCAAGGUGAAAACCUGCAAAAGGGCACUUUGAAUAAAAAAACAAAAAAAAAGAGAUGAAAAAAAUGAAAAAGUAAAAAUGGAGAGGCUAAGGGGAAAACCCGCAAAUGGCAUCUUAGGCCAAAGGGGAUUUGAGUUAAAAACCCGAAAAGGGCGGCUCAAAUAUUGAUCAGAAUGGGGUAUGAAGUGAUUAGAUUGGGGCAUGUGGUGAUCCUGCUAUACCUGAAAGGGUAGGGCGACAUCUUGGGGCAUCGACAGAGUCCUGUAGAUCUCCUAAACACAUGUCAAACUCAGGAAAGUCCUCAGAAAGUUUGUACAGAGAAGUUCAAGCUGCGAUAUCUGGGGCAUCUAACCUUCAUACUAUUUAUUGAAUUUGUUGUUAUUGGAAUACUUCAUUCUUUUUCAAGAUACGUGUUCCAAUCAAUUCCUCUUUUAUUCUUGCUACCCUUGAUAAUUCAUUCAUUUCGAGCUUGCUCUCAAAUCAAUUCUAUUUCAUCCAUCGUUAUAUUCUUUUUUGAACAUGUUGCAUUGGAAUAAUGAUUAAUGGACUAAUAAAACUUUCACAAAGGAAGUUUUGCAUAUUACUCUGAAAAGUUUCUAAAUAAUAUAGGAACCUGAAACAGGAUUAUCGUUUAGAAAACACCAAGUUUAAAGGGUGAAAUAUCUAAGAAGGAAGAGUCUAAGUUAAAGACUAUCCUUUCAGAUUUUGUUGUCUAAACAUUGAUUGAACCAAAUGACAAGAUGUCGUGUUGGUGGCAAAGCUUCAAUGAACCGACAAGCGAUGUUUACCAGGCAAAAAGAAAAGGUCUUCUAGGAGAAGAAAAUUUUUGCAAUUGUGCAUGAGCAUUUGGUAUGACACCUUGGGGAUGAGGUAAAGGACCAAAGAGUUUCACAUUCAAUAUCAUUGAAUUGCGAUAGGAGAAGAUUGAGAAAAGUCAUAUUUCUACCCUUAAAUUACUGUGAGAGAAUGAUGGUACAAAUUUUGAUGUUCCAGUGGAUUGAACUUUGACGUGUACAGUGGGGGGCAAUCAGAUUAAGUGUUUCUUUGGAUAUGCUAGCCGAGCAAGAAGGCGGUGUAGCACGUCAGUGAUAAAGCCUUAAUAAGCUUUUGUGUGAUGAUAACCUAAGCAUUAAGGAAUCAUUUUCAUGACAUUUUGCAUGUCAUUCAUACACAUCUCGUUAGGAGCAUUUGAUUCGUUCUGAUCAUAUCAUCCUAAUCACUAGGCACAAUUAGGUUCAUAAAAUAGAACAUACAGGUCAUGUUCCCCAUAGAACAGAUCAAUGAAGACAUCAGAUCUUGCUUUCCUGUACUGACUGCGAAGCAGAUCAAAGACAACAGAUCUUGCCGUCCUGCCUUGAUAGUGAAGCAGAUCGAAGAUACAAGUUUUGUCUCCAUCGGUUGCGGUGGAACUGGUUGAAGAUAGCAGAUCUGGCCUUCCUGCGUUAACAGCGAAGCAGAUUGAAAACAAAGCCUUGUCUCCAUCGGUUGUAGUAGAGUUGAUUGAAGAAUGUCAGAUCUUAUCUCCCUGAGAUUACAGCAGAGCAGAUCGAAGCUAGUAAUCCUAUCUCCCUGAGAUUACAGUGGAGUGGAUUAAAAUAAAGGAUCUUAUCUCUCUGAAGUUACAGCAGAGAAGAUCGUAUCAGGUCUUAUCUCCCUGAGAUUAUAGCGGAGCAGAUUGAAGUUAGUAAUCCUAUCUCCCUGAGAUUACAGUGGAGCGGAUUAAAACAAAGGAUCUUAUCUCUCUGAAGUUACAGUAGAGUAGAUCGCAUCAGGUUUUACCUCCCUGUGGUUACAGUGGAGAACAUUGAAGCCAGUAAUUCUAUCUCCCCGACGUUGCGGAGUGGGUCGAAGCGCCAAUGCCUAUACCUCUGAAGUUGCAGUUGAAGUUACAAGUCUUAUCUCCCUGACGUUGCAGUAGGACAGACUAAAACCAUGAAUCUCACCCCCCUGAAGUUACAACAGAGUGGAUUGAAGCUACAAGUCUUGUCUUUUUGAAGUUGUAGCGGAAUGGAUCGAAGUGACAAGACACGGUAGACUGGAAUGAAGCUACUUGAAGAAGAAAGGCACCAAGAAGUCAAGACUCGGCGAGACCGGGCAAAAUUGGGCUUUCUUAGUCUUUGCUCUGUUAUCGUUACACGACAACGAGCAAAGAGUGGCAGCUGUACAAGCCCAAUUUUUAGCCCAAAACCCAAUUAACCCAAGAACCCAAAAUAAUCACAUACCAGCAAAACCCUCUACCCAAUACAACCCAAAAACCCCACCUAAACCUAACCCAGCUACCAGCCCAAUUACAAUUAACCUAAACCAGACCCGAAGCCCACUUAGCCCAGGCCCGAUUUCAAAAAAUAUCUGCCUAGGGUUUCAGAGACUGAAACCCUAGGCGCCGCCCCUUGACUUUUGGCUUCCUGCCAUCGCCGUCACCGCCGUUGGACGUCCCAUCCGCGUCCAUCACGUCGGCCUCCCCCCACUUGCGCCGUCACCUGCAAAAGAAACAAAACGAAGAAAAGAGGGCAAUAGAAACAGUGGCAUUCGGCUAUAAAAGCCAAGAAAAAUGUAUUUUGAAGCUCUUGGCUUCCUAUUUUGUAACCAAAAAGUAACAGACAUUAGCAAAAUAAAUAAAAAACAAGAGAAAUAUUAAGAGGUGAUUUUCGUUCUCCCGUUUCAGAUUUUUUUAUUUUUUUCUUUUUUUAUAUACAUCUACAAACAAAGAAACGAUUUAAAAGGGAAAGAAAAAGAAAGGAGUACUUGAGCCGUUCCGUUUGCGCCGUCGCCGGAGUUCAUUUUUAGGUUACCGAAAUCGGACCAUGAAGGCGACGUUUGGGGCUUCGCUCCUUGGCCCUACGGCUCUAAAGCCCG